AUGAACGCUGGCGGCAUGCCUAACACAUGCAAGUCGAUCGGUAAGGCUCUUCGGAGUACACGAGAGACGGACGGCUGAGUAACGCGUAGGAACACACCCUGCAGUGAGGGAUAAGACACCGAAAGGUGUUCUAAUACCGCAUACGGUCUUCGGAUUAAAGCAUUUAUGCGCUGAAGGAGUGGCCUGCGUCAUAUUAGAUAGUUGGUGAGGUAAUGGCUCACCAAGUCGAUGAUGUGUAGCUGGUCUGAGAGGAUGAUCAGCCAGACUGGAACUGAGACACGGUCCAGACUCCUACGGGAGGCAGCAGUGAGGAAUAUUUCACAAUGAGCGAAAGCUUGAUGGAGCAAUGCCGCGUGCAGGAUGAAGGCCCUCGGGUUGUAAACUGCUUUUAUAAGAGAAGAUUAUGACGGUAACUUAUGAAUAAGGGACGGCUAACUACGUG
rnacentral:rRNA from 1 species